AGCCGCGGUAAUACGUAGGUGGCGAGCGUUAUCCGGAUUUACUGGGUGUAAAGGGCGCGCAGGCGGCCCUGGAAGUCAGAUGUGAAAGAUCAAGGCUUAACUUUGACAGGUCAUCUGAAACUUUGGGGCUUGAGUAUCAGAGGGGAAAGUGGAAUUCCUAGUGGAGCGGUAAAAUGCACAGAGAUUAGGAGGAACACCGGUGGCGAAGGCGACUUUCUGGCUGACAACUGACGCUGAGGCGCGAAAGCGUGGGGAGCAAACAGGAUUAGAUACCCUGGUAGUCCACGCCGUAAACGAUGAUUACUGGGUGUAGGGAGUAUCGACUCUCUCUGUGCCGAAGCAAACGCGAUAAGUAAUCCACCUGGGGAGUACGGCCGCAAGGCUAAAACUCAAAGGAAUUGACGGGGACCCGCACAAGCAGUGGAGUAUGUGGUUUAAUUCGAGGCAACGCGAAGAACCUUACCAGGGAUUGACAUCCUGCGCUAGGCUUGGAGACAGGUUGUUCCUUCGGGACGCAGAGACAGGUGGUGCAUGGCC
rnacentral:rRNA from 1 species